CACAGCUUUGGAACUUGGUGGAAUUCCAGGACCAGAGUGCAGCAGUUGUGCCGCUCAGCUGGGUGGUAGAGGUGGACGGAGAAGUGGGAUGCUACUGGCCACCCUAUAGUGGCCAAAAAGCUGAGAAGGCCGCCAUGAACUCCAUCCCCCCGGGACAAGGAUGGCAAUUCCACCCAAAAAUCAGGGUGCUGACAACCUGUGCCACCUUUGCCAAAGCCAGGUCUUGCCUCAACCGAUCGCUGGAGGAAGGCUGCCUUACAGCAGACCUGCAGUCUGAUGUCCAAACAAAAGGUAUUUUGAGGAGGACAGCGAGGAGGAGGCACAACCAAGGCGUAAGGGGAGGAGGCCACCAUCUAUUGACGCCACUCAGCUGGACAGCGAGUGGCAAUUCCCCUCCCUUAAUGAAGACACCCAGUCAGCCAGUAGACACCCAGCCAGCCAGUUCCUUCACAGCCAGCCAUUAACUCAUGAUUCACUGCCGUCAGAAACCCCACCAGGCCUUGUACUUAACAGCCAGCCACUAACCCAUGCUUCACCUCUGCCGUUGCGACAGGUGAACAAUCAGUUGCUGCGUGAUUUACCGUCGUCAGAAACCCCGCCAGGCCCCCC